UACCUUCUAGUGAACUUUCUAUGGCGUUUUGUCCGCCUUUUCUAAGGUGGUUUGUCUGUGGGUUUUCACUAGAAGUUAUAGAAAACAAAUGGAAAAACAUGUCGAAUGAGUAGUUGCGAUUAAGCAUGACAUACACAGUUUUCCAAGUCAUACUCAUGUUGAUAUUGAACAUGUUCAAAUUUUAUCUACUAAACAUACAGGUAAUGAAAUUAAUGAAACUUUGAGGCUAACUUAUAUUUUCUCUUCGUGCUUUUCUAUUUUUUUCUUUGUUUUCAAAAUUCUUCCUAAUUGUUGAUAUGAGGAGAGCCACCAGGGACGCUGCCAGCUUAGUUGUUGCUAAGAAAAGGACUAGAAAAGAAAGAGCCUUAGUCAGAGGAAAAUAAAUCUAGGUUUGUCUUAACACACAGUUUGGUCUUCUGGCAUACAUAUCACUCAAUGCUUUUAUCAGUACUAACGAUCUGUCGAAAUCUAGAUUGAAAGCGAACCUUAGGACAGUCCUUUCAAACAAUUUAAGUAUGUAAAAAUCAAAGACUUUGAAAAGGAAAGUUUUUUCGAAGCUUCCCCUUCUGAGACACCUAAAAAUAAGAAGAAGAAACCAAAGUUCCUUGUAUGUGGACCUCCCAAAGUCAACUUAGUCCCAACUAUUUCCCCUGUGCCUGAAGCAGAGGAUUAGAAAAAGGCAUCCCUACCUGUUGACAAGCUAGUUAAGCAGGCACCAGAAGUUGCCUCUACAAAACUAGAAAGUGACAAUUCAAGUCCUGAUGUUGAGGCGCCUAAGGAACUUCCUUCUGGAAACACGAUUUCCAGUAUUAAGUACACACCACCUAUGUCUACCAUUUCUCCAUCUGUCUAAUUUGGGAAUAUAAACUCCCAUCAGUUCAAAUUGUGAAGAUCCAAGAAGCCGUCGGAGACGUCACCGUCGACCAACCAAUAAUAACACCCAAGAAAAUUCUCCUUGAACCAGAUAAACCAGCGGGUCGAAAGCUCAUCUUCUGAGGAAACAUCCUCGGUGUCUGAAAGGGAAAAGACUUCUCACCCCAAGAUGGACCUUGACCUCGAGGAUGAAAAUCCUGAUGACAAAAAGAAAAAUGAUAUCUCUCCUUCUGGAAGUCCAGAUCAUGAGGACACUCUUCAUAAGGACCCAAAGGUCACUUAAUCUCAUAAAGUUAAAGGUUUAAACAAUGAACUGGGGACUGGUGGAAAAAACUUCAAACCUAUAUUACAUGCCCCCAUAACCAUUGGAACCUCUUCUCUCAAUCCAGAGGAACUUGCAUGAAAUUAAAAGAACAAAUCCUUCAGGUUACAUGAGGAUGAUGGUGAGUCUUCUAAGCAGUUUGACUGAAAAAUGUUCCAACUCUUCAACUAUUCCAGGUAGGGAACCUUUUGUCGAAUCUAUUGAUGAAGUGCUUCGCUAACUAAAGUUGAAGAUCCUAUGUCCACACUUGUUUCAAACAGUUCAUGAUAACUCAAUGUUAUCCUAUCCAAUCAAAUCCAUGUUAAAGAAACUCAACACACCUAAUGCCCUUAAUUCUAUUAUUUCCUUGAUUCUUGAAUUCGGCAUAUUGUUGGAUCAGAUCACUGCUAAUAUCCAAAGGAAGAAUGGGGCACUUCUUAGGUUAAAUCCAAAAGAAGAAACUCAAUCACUGGAAUGGGCUUUGGUGAACGAGUCCAAUAGUUGUGUUGAGGAAAUUGAGAUGUCAUUCAAGCAAGAUGAUACGGAGACUGCUUCUUGUGACGCUAAUAUCCUUAAGUGGGAGAAAGAGAUAUAAGAACUGCAAUCAAAGGUAACAAAAGGAUAAAGAGAGGAAGGUUGAACUCAAGAAUGUCAGUCGAGCCAAUCUGAGCAAAUAGGCUCUAAUUGGCCUUCAACACUUUGACAAUGCUAGUGCCUGGAAGCAGAAAUUGAAGGAAUAACUGCUAGCAUUUCACUAACUGACCUUCAACUUGAGGCAACAAAGGCUCAUUUUGAGAGGAUUAAGGUUACUCUUCCAUUUUAUAAUGUUUUUCCUUUCUUGUUAUGAACUUUCUAUUUCAACUGUUGCAAUUUAUUUUUUAAACUUAAGUAUGCAUUUUAUGGCAUUUUGACAAUUUAGAAUAACAACCUCAGUUUUUAA